UUUCCGUAGGCGAACCUGCGGAAGGAUCAUUAUUGAAUGAACUUGGCAUGAUUGUAGCUGGUCCUUUCGAGGGCAUGUGCACAUCUGUCAUCUUUAUCUUUCCACCUGUGCACCAAUUGUAGGUCUAAAAAAUUUUCCCCGAGACACUCGGGGGAGCAUGGGGCGUUGCUGUGUGUUACCACCAGCUUGCCCUGCAUUUUCUAGAUCUAUGUUUUCACAUACACCAUAAAAUGUAAUAGAAUGUUAUUAUUGGGCUUUUAUUGCCUAUAAACUAUAUACAACUUUCAGCAACGGAUCUCUUGGCUCUC
rnacentral:misc_RNA from 1 species